GGACUACCGGGGUAUCUAAUCCUGUUUGCUCCCCACGCUUUCGCGCCUCAGCGUCAGUUCCGGACCAGGUCGCCGCCUUCGCCACCGGUGUUCUUCCCAAUAUCUACGAAUUUCACCUCUACACUGGGAAUUCCACGACCCUCUUCCGGACUCGAGUCUGCACGUAUCAAACGCAGCCCCCAGGUUGAGCCCAGGAAUUUCACGUCUGACUGUACAGACCGCCUACGCGCCCUUUACGCCCAGUCAAUCCGAGCAACGCUAGCCCCCUUCGUAUUACCGCGGCGGCUGGCAC
rnacentral:rRNA from 1 species